rnacentral:rRNA from 1 species
UAGGCGACCGGGUGAGUAACACGUGACUAACCUACCUUCAAGUGGGGGAUAACCUCGGGAAACCGGGGCUAAUACCGCAUAAAAUCUUUGGGAUGGAAAUUCUGAAGAUCAAAGGAGCAAUUCGCUGGAAGAGGGGGUCGCGGCUGAUUAGCUAGUUGGCGGGGUAAUGGCCCACCAAGGCUUUGAUCGGUAGCCGGCCUGAGAGGGCGCACGGCCACACUGGAACUGAAACACGGUCCAG